rnacentral:rRNA from 1 species
GACGAACGCUGGCGGCGUGCUUAACACAUGCAAGUCGAACGGAAAGGCCCUGUUUUUUUCGGGUGCUCGAGUGGCGAAAGGGUGAAGAACACGGGAGUAACCUGCCCUGGACUUUGGGAUAACUUCAGGAAACUGGGGCCAAUACCGGAGUGUAGUGCCUGUGCCAUGGUGUGGGUUGGAAAGAGUCGGCGGUUGGGGCUGGUUUGGCGGGUUAUCAGCUUGUUGGUGGGGUAGUGGCUUGCCGGGGCUUUGACGGGUAGCCGGCCUGAGAGGGUGUGCGGCGCCACUGGGACUGAGAGACGGGGCAGACUCCUACGGGAGGGAGCAGUGGGGAGAAUUGUGCAAUGGGCGGAAGCCUGAUGCAGCGACGCCGUGUGCGGGAUGACGGCCUUCGGGUUGUAAACAGCGUUCUCCUGUGAGGAGGCGUGAGUGACGGUAAUGGGUAAAGAAGCGCCGGCUAACUACGUG